rnacentral:rRNA from 1 species
AAGACCUUGCACUUUUGGAGCGGCCGAUGUCUGAUUAGCUAGUUGGUGGGGUAAUGGCCUACCAAAGCUUCGAUCAGUAGCUGGUCUGAGAGGACGGCCAGCCACACUGGGACUGAGACACGGCCCAGACUCCUACGGGAGGCAGCAGUGGGGAAUUUUGGACAAUGGGCGCAAGCCUGAUCCAGCCAUGCCGCGUGAGUGAAGAAGGCCUUCGGGUUGUAAAGCUCUUUCAGCCGGGAAGAAAAGGUUGCGACUAAUAAUCGCAAUCCAUGACGGUACCGAAAGAAGAAGCACCGGCUAACUACGUGCCAGCAGCCGCGGUAAUACGUAGGGUGCGAGCGUUAAUCGGAAUUACUGGGCGUAAAGGAUGCGCAGGCGGUUUUGUAAGUCAGAUGUGAAAUCCCCGGGCUUAACCUGGGAACU